rnacentral:rRNA from 1 species
UACAGAGGGUGCAAGCGUUAAUCGGAAUUACUGGGCGUAAAGGGCGCGUAGGCUGAUAUUUAAGUCGAUUGUGAAAUACCUGGGCUUAACCUGGGAAUUGCAUUCGAUACUGGAUGUCUAGAGUAUGGGAGAGGAAAGCGGAAUUCCCGGUGUAGCGAUAAAAUGCGUAGAUAUCGGGAAGAACACCAGUGCGAAGGCGGCUUUCUGGACCAAUACUGACGCUGAGGCGCGAAAGCGUGGGGAGCGAACAGGAUUAGAUACCCGUGUA